AUUGAACGCUGGCGGCAGGCCUAACACAUGCAAGUCGAGCGGCUGAAGGGAGCUUGCUCCUGGAUUCAGCGGCGGACGGGUGAGUAAUGCCUAGGAAUAUGCCUGGUUGUGGGGGAUAACGUCCGGAAACGGGCGCUAAUACCGUAUACGUCCUGAGGGCGAACGUGGGGGAUCUUCGGACCUCACGCUAUCAGAUGAGCCUAGGUCGGAUUAGCUAGUUGGUGGGGUAAAGGCCUACCAAGGCGACGAUCCGUAACUGGUCUGAGAGGAUGAUCAGUCACACUGGAACUGAGACACGGUCCAGACUCCUACGGGAGGCAGCAGUGGGGAAUAUUGGACAAUGGGCGAAAGCCUGAUCCAGCCAUGCCGCGUGUGUGAAGAAGGUCUUCGGAUUGUAAAGCACUUUAAGUUGGGAGGAAGGGCAGUAAGUUAAUACCUUGCUGUUUUGACGUUACCAACAGAAUAAGCACCGGCUAACUUCGUG
rnacentral:rRNA from 1 species